AUAGCCCUUGCUGGAUUUUACUUGCGCUCCUGCUCCUCUUCCAUCCCCACGAGGAGAGGAUGCUGGUCCCAGAGAGAGGAUGAGAGAGCUGAGCCUCUGAGCCGCUCCAUCACCCAACCUGCAGCGGCAAAACCCGUCCAGGUGACGCCUCCAGAGACUGCCAGCAGCACCUGGGGUGAAGGAGUGCCCUCUACACCUGUCACAAUUGCAGCGUGAAUAAGCCCGGGCUAGCGACUUUAAGACCAGAGUACCUGGGAUUAACUAAAGUAACCCUCAUGAAAUGGACAAGUGGCUUAAACAUCUCCCUGCAGAGAAGCGACAGACGGAGGAUAAUUCCAGUAAUACAGGUUGGUUUCCUGGCAGAAUUUCAUAGAAAUGGCGUCAUCCAGAACGUGCUUUUUUGUGUUUAGCUUCUUCCGCUCAACAUAACAUCUGUGAGAUCAUCCACGUUGUGUGUAUCCGUGGCCCCAUUUCACGGAGGAAGAAACAAAGGCUCAGACAGACUAAGGGAAGUGGUGUCAGAGGAAAGCCCCAGCUCUCCAAGGACGUCCCGUUCUCUGUUUGAGCACCGUCCCCUGAUGGUCCAUGCUGAUCGCCAGCCCAGGCAUUCCUUCCUGUGCUGAGGCUUCCUGCCACGCACAGUCGAUUGGGGAUCAUUCCAUCAGCAAAGGCUCUGACCUGCUAAAUCUCAUCCAUCAGACUGGCCAUAUUCCUUCCAACUGAGCUGGUAAUGUGAUCAUGUGAUCACGCUGUGGCGACUCGGUUCCCGUGGCCCGUUCGUCAUCACUUCACAGGCGCCUUCUGUGGACUCGGGCCAAAUCCUCUGUGUCAGCACCGUGUGUACCCUGUUGCACCCCACAGGUGACCCUGCAGAGGUUCCUGGCCGCAUCUGUGCACACAGACGCGUGUCCACUUGCGCAUGUGCCUCUCUCUCUGGCAGAAAAUCUUUGAGGUGGAACCCAAUGGGCUGGGUUUAAAUCCUGACUCUACUACUUACAGGCUGUACAACUUUGCCCUAGUUGCCCUCUCUGUGCCUCAGUUUCCCAUCUGUAAAAUGUGGAUGAAGACAGAACCCACUUCUUGGAGUGUAUUCAUUUCCUGGGCUGCCACAACAAAGUACCAUAGACUUAGUGGCUUAAAAAACCGAAAUCUAAUCGCUCACAGUUCUGGAGGCCAGAAAUCUGAAAUCAACCCAUCAGCAAGCGUUGUCGGUGCCCGGAGCUGGAGGGCCCUUGAAGAUGAGAAGAGCCUGUCCCCCUCGGUUGCAGGAAUAGGUGAGGAGGACUCAGAGGGGGGCAGCGGCUGGGCCAAGGUCACACAGCGAGUCGGUGGCAUCACCAGCUUGGCCAGCCCUGGCAGGAGAGGGGUUGGAACGGCCCACGUGGGGACUGUGGCAGGCUGGGAUACACGGGGCCUGGCCAGAGAGCGACGUCACUGUGAAGUGGCACUGCCCAAGUGGACGACAUGGACUCUGUGUAUGAGGUCAGCUGAGUUUUCAAGAGAAGCUAAAAUCCACCUUUAUAAAGGAUGCCAUCUAGUCAUUCAAGGUUCUAGAAAACCCAGCGUAGGCCACACAAAGUGGUCCUAGCUGAGAACAGUGUCUUCACUCAGCUCCUGGGGUGCCCGUGGUGGGCACAGCCCAGAGGGCAGAUGCGGAGUAGCGUUUGGUCCUGUGUGUGCAGGGUGUGCCUGGGCUUCUCCUGGUCCCCCGCGUAGUGAGAUGGGAGCUUCCUGGCCCGCCUGCAUCAGUGUUCCGUCCAAAAUCCCCUUCCAGCCAAGCGGUCUUCAGCAGCCUGCCACGCGCAGUGUGUGUGUUGUGUGCUGCACAAAGGCGCCCACUGGAGAGGGGACUGGGGUGCUCUCGGGCCGUGCUCGGCUUGUUGCUCAGCUGCUUAUCCUGGAAGAAGCAUUUGAUUGUUGUAAUGCAUCCACCCAGGCAGUUCUCUUUUUCUAGUUCUCACAGUGCUGGGUCAGUUUGGGUCCUUCAAGAAGAUGCCAAGGGACUUCCCUGGUGGCGCAGUGGUUAAGAAUCCACCUGCUAAUGCAGGGGACAUGGGUUCGAGCCCUGGUCCGGGAAGAUCCCACAUGCCGCGGAGCAACUAAGCCCGUGUGCCAGAACUACUGAGCCUGUGCUCUACAGCCCGCGAGCCACAACUACCGAGCCCGCACGCCUAGAGCCGGUGCUCAGCCACAAGAGAAGCCACCGCAAUGAGAAGCCUGCGUACCCCAACGAAGAGUAGCCCCCACUUGCCACAACGAGAGAAAGCCCGCGCGCAGCAAUAAAGACCCAAUGCAGCCAAAAUAAAUAAAUUUAUUUAAAAAAAAAAAAAGAAAGAAAAUGCCGAGAUGAGGGACUUCCCUGGCGGUCCAGUGGUUAGGACUCCGGGCUUUCACUGCCGCGAGCACAGGUUCGAUCCCUGGUCGAGGAGCUAAGAUCCCGCAAGCCACGUGGCACGGCAAAAAAAAAAAACAACAAAGAAAAAAGAAGAUGCCAAGGUGAGAUUCGACGUGCAAGUGGGCCAUUAGGGAAAACAGCUCUAGGAGAAAAGGAGGAAGUGGGAGAGGCUUCAGGCUGAGAUGCAACUCUGGCCUCCAUGCGGAGUGAGACAGGAGGGGCUCAGGCCUCAGCACAGUUCUAAGGAAGUUUUUGUGCAGGCUGAUGGGGAAUCCUGGAGCCGGGGUCCCCCAUCGGAGGCAUCCCACAUCCUGCUGGGAUGGGCCUACCUUUAUUUCCCUUUCUCGCUGGGUCAUUGGUGGGAGCACCUGUGUGGCUCAGGGUGGGUUCAGAGCACAGCAGUGGGGCUGUCAAUCAGUCACGCAUGUGUCCCGCAGCGGGAGACCCCAGGGGAUGACGGUCAAGGCUGUCAUGGUGCUGAAUCUGUUAGUGGGUGCCCUGAUCUGUGAAGACACAGUUAGAAACAGCCGGCAUGGUAAAUCAGACAGAGAAAGACAAAUAUCAUAGGGUACUGCUUGUAUGUGGACUCUAAAAAAAGAGUACAAAUGAACUUAUCUACAAAACAGAAAGAGAGUCACAGAUGUAGAAAACAAACUUACGGUUAGCAGGAGGUAAGGAGAGGGGAGGGAUAAACUGGGAGACUGGGAUGGACAUACACACACCACUAUAUAUAAAAUAGAUAACUAAUAAGGGCCUACUGUACAGCACAGGGAAGUCUACUCAAUACUCUGUUAUGGCCUAUAUGGGAAAAGAAUCUAAAAAAGAGCGAAUAUAUGUAUAUGUAUAACUGAUUGACUUUGCUGUACCUCCGAAACUAACACAACAUUGUAAAUCAACUACACUGCAAUAAAACAA